CGACACUCGGUAAUAAAG
rnacentral:snRNA from 1 species